rnacentral:rRNA from 1 species
UACGUAGGGGGCAAGCGUUGUCCGGAUUCACUGGGUUUAAAGGGUGCGUAGGCGGUUUGGUAAGUCGGCGAUGAAAUGACGGCGCUCAACGUCGUCGCUGUUGCCGAUACUGCCGGACUGGAGUGCGGUCAAGGUAGCUGGAAGGAGUGGUGUAGCGGUGAAAUGCGUAGAGAUCACUCAGAACACCGAUUGCGAAGGCAGGUUACUGGGCCGUUACUGACGCUGAGGCACGAAAGCGUGGGGAGCAAACAGG